GCUUCACCUGUUGCUGGAACCACUAACUGAACAGGCUGAGUCACGGUGAUUCUAGCUGCCAAGGGCGGUUCUGUGGCUGUCGAAACCACCGCUGAGGCUUCUGUUAUUUGGUUCAGAUGAUAUUCUUUAGUUACAGAUUAAGUUAUCGGAGCCACGUGUUACGCGUAAGGGUUGUCCUUGCUGCGGCGAAAGUGAACAAAGCUGUGAUGUAAGCUGCC